UACGUAGGGUGCGAGCGUUGUCCGGAAUUAUUGGGCGUAAAGAGCUUGUAGGCGGUUUGUCGCGUCUGCUGUGAAAAUCCGGGGCUCAACCCCGGACUUGCAGUGGGUACGGGCAGACUAGAGUGUGGUAGGGGAGACUGGAAUUCCUGGUGUAGCGGUGAAAUGCGCAGAUAUCAGGAGGAACACCGAUGGCGAAGGCAGGUCUCUGGGCCGCUACUGACGCUGAGAAGCGAAAGCAUGGGGAGCGAACAGG
rnacentral:rRNA from 1 species